GGAUGCAUGAUAUAGUGGUUUGGGCAUCGGACUAUGACUCUGAGACCAGGGUUCGAUUCCCAGCUCAACCA